CAGGCAUUACUUAAAUAGCUGCCUGAAAUUCAGCUCCCUAUCCUAUUCCUGCUUUUUCCAGAGAUGGAAUUGAUAUUGAAUCAGAAGAUUAGGAAAAAUCAUUGUUGCCUGCCCCAAACAGAUCAGGCAGCAAGAACAGACAAUGGUCUUCUGGAGAUACAGCAACACUGAGGUAAUUCCAUAACUCUCCAGCCAACUUUUAAAGAUUUCCUGUUUGACAGCCAGGAGAAAGGAAGUUCCACAUCACCAUGGAGCCAAAUGUCCAACAACAUGAAACAUCAGCAUGCUUGAAACUUGUAUAAUUUAUAUUCUGUUUCAUCGCCUAGCCCCUACCCACAUGAUGAAAUUUAUUUCUGCUGAUAACUGGGAUUUUAGCAGUGUGGUGUUGAAGUCAGUGCGGUGAGAUGUUCUGUUUCUGUUGUUGUUGGAAUGUGUGCUGGGGUGGACUGUGAAACUGAUGAAUGACCAACCGUGGCAGAUUCAUAAUCCGGAACUUGGUGC